UGGGGAAUCUUGCGCAAUGGGCGAAAGCCUGACGCAGCGACGCCGCGUGAGGGAAGAAGGCCUUCGGGUUGUAAACCUCUUUCAGGAGGGACGAAGCCACUCGGGUGAACAGCCCAGAGGGAGACGGUACUUCCAGAAGAAGCCCCGGCUAACUACGUGCCAGCAGCCGCGGUAAUACGUAGGGGGCGAGCGUUGUCCGGAUUUACUGGGCGUAAAGAGCGUGGAGGCGGCUACGCGGGUCCGUUGUGA
rnacentral:rRNA from 1 species